rnacentral:rRNA from 1 species
GACGUAGGGCGCGAGCGUUGUCCGGAUUUAUUGGGCGUAAAGAGCUCGUAGGCGGCUUGUUGCGUCGUCCGUGAAAACCCGCAGCUCAACUGUGGGCUUGCAGCUGAUACGGGCAGGCUUGAGUUCGGUAGGGGAGUGUGGAAUUCCUGGUGUAGCGGUGAAAUGCGCAGAUAUCAGGAGGAACACCGGUGGCGAAGGCGGCAUCCUGGACCGGUAUUGACACUGAGGCGCGAAAGCCAGGGGAGCAAACGGG